ACCUGGCAUGUACCAGUAAUCCCAGCUGCCAGGGAGGCUGAGGCUGAUGGAUCUCUUGAGCUCAGGAGUUCUGAGCUGCAGUGAGCUAAACCAAUCAAGUUUCUUUACUAAGUCCAACAUCAAUAUAGUGAAUCCCUGAGAGUUGGAGACCACCAAAUUCUCCAAGAAGAGGCAAACCAGCCUAGAUUAAAAAUAGUGUGGGUCAAAGCUUCAGGGUUGAUCAGUAGUGGGACAGGGCUGUAAGCAACCUCUGUACUUCCUACUGGGGCAAGAUAGGGAAACCUAGUCUCUC
rnacentral:SRP_RNA from 1 species